GACGAACGCUGGCGGCGUGCUUAACACAUGCAAGUCGAACGGAAAGGCCCUGCUUUUGUGGGGUGCUCGAGUGGCGAACGGGUGAGUAACACGUGAGUAACCUGCCCUUGACUUUGGGAUAACUUCAGGAAACUGGGGCUAAUACCGGAUAGGAUCUCCUGCUGCAUGGUGGGGGUUGGAAAGUUUCGGCGGUUGGGGAUGGACUCGCGGCUUAUCAGCUUGUUGGUGGGGUAGUGGCUUACCAAGGCUUUGACGGGUAGCCGGCCUGAGAGGGUGACCGGGCACAUUGGGACUGAGAUAGGGCGCAGACUCCAACGGGAGGCAGCAGGGGGAAAUAUUGCACAAUGGGCGGAAGCCUGAUGCGGCAACGCCGCGUGCGGGAUGACGGCUUUCGGGUUGUAAACCGCUUUCGCCUGAGACGAAGCGUGAGUGACGGUAAUGGGUAAAGAAGCACCGGCUAACUACGUG
rnacentral:rRNA from 1 species